rnacentral:rRNA from 1 species
GAUGAACGCUGGCGGCGUGCUUAACACAUGCAAGUCGAACGGUGAAAGCGGAGCUUGCUCUGCUGGAUCAGUGGCGAACGGGUGAGUAACACGUGAGCAAUCUGCCCCUGACUCUGGGAUAAGCGCUGGAAACGGCGUCUAAUACCGGAUACGAGCUGCGAAGGCAUCUUCAGCAGCUGGAAAGAACUUCGGUCAGGGAUGAGCUCGCGGCCUAUCAGCUUGUUGGUGAGGUAACGGCUCACCAAGGCGUCGACGGGUAGCCGGCCUGAGAGGGUGACCGGCCACACUGGGACUGAGACACGGCCCAGACUCCUACGGGAGGCAGCAGUGGGGAAUAUUGCACAAUGGGCGCAAGCCUGAUGCAGCAACGCCGCGUGAGGGACGACGGCCUUCGGGUUGUAAACCUCUUUUAGCAGGGAAGAAGCGAAAGUGACGGUACCUGCAGAAAAAGCACCGGCUAACUACGUGCCAGCCGCCGCCGUAACAC